rnacentral:ncRNA from 1 species
UCGGAUGACCAAACGUAAUGUUACGGUGCCCAAAUUAACAACGUUAUGCAGAUACCAUGAAAGGCGUUGGUUGCUUAAAACAGCAGGACGGUGAUCAUGGAAGUCGAAAUCCGCUAAGGAGUGUGUAACAACUCACCUGCCGAAGCAACUAGCCCUUAAAAUGGAUGGCGCUUAAGUUGUAUACCUAUACAUUACCGCUAAAGUAGAUGAUUUAUAUUACUUGUGAUAUAAAUUUUGAAACUUUAGUGAGUAGGAAGGUACAAUGGUAUGCGUAGAAGUGUUUGGCGUAAGCCUGCAUGGAGCUGCCAUUGGUACAGAUCUUGGUGGUAGUAGCAAAUAAUCGAAUGAGACCUUGGAGGACUGAAGUGGAGAAGGGUUUCGUGUGAACAGUGGUUGAUCACGAGUUAGUCGGUCCUAAGUUCAAGGCGAAAGCCGAAAAUUUUCAAGUAAAACAAAAAUGCCUAACUAUAUAAACAAAGCGAAUAUAAUACACUUGAAUAAUUUUGAACGAAAGGGAAUACGGUUCCAAUUCCGUAACCUGUUGAGUAUCCGUUUGUUAUUAAAUAUGGGCCUCGUGCUCAUCCUGGGCAACAGGAACGACCAUAAAGAAGCCGUCGAGAGAUAUCGGAAGAGUUUUCUUUUCUGUUUUAUAGCCGUACUACCAUGGAAGUCUUUUCGCAGAGAGAUAUGGUAGAUGGGCUAGAAGAGCAUGACAUAUACUGUUGUGUCGAUAUUUUCUCCUCGGACCUUGAAAAUUUAUGGUGGGGACACGCAAACUUCUCAACAGGCCGUACCAAUAUCCGCAGCUGGUCUCCAAGGUGAAGAGUCUCUAGUCGAUAGAAUAAUGUAGGUAAGGGAAGUCGGCAAAUCAGAUCCGUAACUUCGGGAUAAGGAUUGGCUCUGAAGAUUGAGAUAGUCGGGCUUGAUUGGGAAACAAUAACAUGGUUUAUGUGCUCGUUCUGGGUAAAUAGAGUUUCUAGCAUUUAUGUUAGUUACUUGUUCCCCGGAUAGUUUAGUUACGUAGCCAAUUGUGGAACUUUCUUGCUAAAAUUUUUAAGAAUACUAUUUGGGUUAAACCAAUUAGUUCUUAUCAAUUAUAACGAUUAUCAAUUAACAAUCAAUUCAGAACUGGCACGGACUUGGGGAAUCCGACUGUCUAAUUAAAACAAAGCAUUGUGAUGGGCCUAGCGGGUGUUGACACAAUGUGAUUUCUGCCCAGUGCUCUGAAUGUCAAAGUGAAGAAAUUCAAGUAAGCGCGGGUCAACGGCGGGAGUAACUAUGACUCUCUUAAGGUUACCAAAUGCCUCGUCAUCUAAUUACUGACGCGGAUUACUGGAUUAACGAGAUUCCGACUGACCCUAUCUACUAUCUUG